rnacentral:rRNA from 1 species
GCAGUCGCCGCGGUAAUACGGAGGGUGCAAGCGUUAAUCGGAAUUACUGGGCGUAAAGCGUGCGUAGGCGGUUCGUUAAGUCUGUUGUGAAAGCCCCGGGCUCAACCUGGGAAUGGCAAUGGAUACUGGCGAGCUAGAGUGUGUCAGAGGAUGGUGGAAUUCCCGGUGUAGCGGUGAAAUGCGUAGAGAUCGGGAGGAACAUCAGUGGCGAAGGCGGCCAUCUGGGACAACACUGACGCUGAGGCACGAAAGCGUGGGGAGCAGACAGGAUUAGAUACCCCAGUAGUCCCUGUCUCUUAUAC